rnacentral:snRNA from 1 species
AUGCUUGCUUCAGCAGUACAUACGCUAAAAUUGGAAUGAUAUAGAGAAGAUUAGCAUGGCCCCUGAGCAAGGAUGACAUGCAAAUUCAUGAAGCAUUCCAUAUUAUU